UAACGCGAAGAACCUUACCAAGGCUUGACAUACACGAGAACGGGCCAGAAAUGGUCAACUCUUUGGACACUCGUGAACGGGUGGUGCAUGGUUGUCGUCAGCUCGUGUCGUGAGAUGUUGGGUUAAGUCCCGCAACGAGCGCAACCCUCGUUCUAUGUUGCCAGCGCGUAAUGGCGGGAACUCAUAGGAGACUGCCGGGGUCAACUCGGAGGAAGGUGGGGAUGACGUCAAAUCAUCAUGCCCCUUAUGUCUUGGGCUUCACGCAUGCUACAAUGGCCGGUACAAAGGGCUGCAAUACCGUAAGGUGGAGCGAAUCCCAAAAAGCCGGUCUCAGUUCGGAUUGAGGUCUGCAACUCGACCUCAUGAAGUCGGAGUCGCUAGUAAUCGCAGAUCAGCA
rnacentral:rRNA from 1 species